rnacentral:misc_RNA from 1 species
AAGUCGUAACAAGGUUUCCGUAGGUGAACCUGCGGAAGGAUCAUUAACACAAGUAAAAAAACAUUUUUACAACACCCUAUUAUGAAUUUAAAUUUUUUAAUUUUGAUUUUAAUUUUUUUAUAAAACUACAAAAAAAAUAUUUAAUUUAUUUGACUAACAUUUUUUUAAUUAAUUUAUUUAAAAUUUUAUAAAACAACUCUUAACAACGGAUAUCUUGGCUCUC